rnacentral:rRNA from 1 species
UACGUAGGGCGCAAGCGUUAUCCGGAAUUACUGGGCGUAAAGCGUGCGCAGGCGGUUUUGUAAGUCUGUCGUGAAAUCCCCGGGCUCAACCUGGGAAUGGCGAUGAAGACUGCAAGGCUAGAGUUUGGCAGAGGGGGGUAGAAUUCCACGUGUAGCAGUGAAAUGGCGUAGAUAUGUGGAGGAACACCGAUGGCGAAGGCAGCCCCCCUGGGUCAAAACUGACGCUCAUGCACGAAAGCGUGGGGAGCAAACAGG